UACGAAGGGGGGCUAGCGUUGCUCGGAAUCACUGGGCGUAAAGCGCGCGUAGGCGGUUACUUAAGUCGGAUGUGAAAGCCCUCGGCUUAACUGAGGAAGUGCAUCCGAAACUGAGUAGCUAGAGUACGAAAGAGGGUCGCGGAAUUCCCGGUGUAGAGGUGAAAUUCGUAGAUAUCGGGAGGAACACCGGUGGCGAAGGCGGCGACCUGGGUCGAGACUGACGCUGAUGCGCGAAAGCGUGGGGAGCAAACAGG
rnacentral:rRNA from 1 species